UACGGAGGAUGCGAGCGUUAUCCGGAUUUGUUGGGUUUAAAGGGUGCGUAGGCGGAUCGUUAAGUCAGUGGUCAAAUUGAGGGGCUCAACCCCUUCCCGCCAUUGAAACUGGCGAUCUUGAGUGGAAGAGAAGUAUGCGGAAUGCGUGGUGUAGCGGUGAAAUGCAUAGAUAUCACGCAGAACCCCGAUUGCGAAGGCAGCAUGCCGGCUUCCGACUGACGCUGAAGCACGAAAGCGUGGGGAUCGAACAGG
rnacentral:rRNA from 1 species